CUACGGGAGGCAGCAGUAAGGAAUAUUGCGCAAUGGAGGCAACUCUGACGCAGCCAUGCCGCGUGCAGGAAGAAGGCCUUAUGGGUCGUAAACUGCUUUUAUUUAGGAAUAAACCCCCGAACGUGUUCGGGGCUGAAGGUACUAAACGAAUAAGCACCGGCUAACUCCGUGCCAGCAGCCGCGGUAAUACGGAGGGUGCAAGCGUUAUCUGGAUGUAUUGGGUUUAAAGGGUGCGCAGGCGGGCUAUUAAGUCAGUGGUGAAAUCCCGGGGCUCAACUCCGGAACUGCCAUUGAUACUGAUAGUCUUGAGUUUGGUUGAAGUGGGCGGAAUGUAGCAUGUAGCGGUGAAAUGCAUAGAUAUGCUACAGAACACCAAUCGCGAAGGCAGCUCACUAAGCCAAAACUGACGCUCAUGCACGAAAGCGUGGGGAUCAAACAGGAUUAGAUACCCGUGUAGUC
rnacentral:rRNA from 1 species